rnacentral:rRNA from 1 species
UUUGAUCCUGGCUCAGGACGAACGCUGGCGGCGUGCUUAACACAUGCAAGUCGAACGGAAAGGCCCUUCGGGGUGCUCGAGUGGCGAACGGGUGAGUAACACGUGGGUGAUCUGCCCUGCACUUUGGGAUAAGCCUGGGAAACUGGGUCUAAUACCGAAUAGGACCACGCGCUUCAUGGUGUGUGGUGGAAAGCUUUUGCGGUGUGGGAUGGGCCCGCGGCCUAUCAGCUUGUUGGUGGGGUAAUGGCCUACCAAGGCGACGACGGGUAGCCGGCCUGAGAGGGUGACCGGCCACACUGGGACUGAGAUACGGCCCAGACUCCUACGGGAGGCAGCAGUGGGGAAUAUUGCACAAUGGGCGCAAGCCUGAUGCAGCGACGCCGCGUGAGGGAUGACGGCCUUCGGGUUGUAAACCUCUUUCAAUAGGGACGAAGCGCAAGUGACGGUACCUGGAGA